rnacentral:lncRNA from 10 species
AUUUCUUGUAAUUGCCACUUUUAGUGACUACAAUGUAUCUCAUUGUUUGGGUAUAUUAUGAUUUGUCUUAUUCUCUCUUUUUGGGACUUUAUUUCCAAUUAUACUUUUGUUCUUAAAUGUUUGAUGAAUAUCUUUUACCUAUAUCUCUGAUCUCAUGUCCAGAUUUUUUUUUUUUUUUUCAAAUAAAGCUGAGAAGUGAAAUUCCUGUGACUAAAGUCAGGAUUUUUUUCUUUGCCUCAACCAAGAUUCAGUCUUUUUUAGCUAGUCUGAUCUGGGAUUAAUCAGAAAGAAAAGCAUAAAUGGCUUAAAUCCAGCAGACCAUUUUACUAUAGAUUUUCUUUCUCUAAAAAUUUCAAUAAUUUGUCUUUAUAAAUUAAGGGCUUUUGUUUAGCUUCCUUCUGAAAGCCUUCCAAAUUUAUGUGAAUCUGCAACAUGCACCUUUUUGAGUUCUCCAUAGGAACACAAUAAUUCCCACUUCCUAUGGGGGACCCAAAGGGUUCUGAAAUGGAUGAGCACAGGGAGAGGGCCCAGUGUUUCAGGGAGUGACAUCAUAAAUAUUCUCUUUUGUCAUCUAAAAAGAAUGACAUUAAUUAAUACCACUUAUUGAAUGUUUUUAGGCAUUGUACAAUGUUCUGGAUACCUGCAUAUUUUAGACAAACGAUGUAAACACAGUUCACAUAUUUGUUUUCAAUACUUUUUCUCUAUUAUGAAUGGUACUCUCAAGCACAUCUUGAAACCAACGAGUUUGUUUUUUUAAGUAAAGUAGUUGGUUAUUAACAAUGUCAGGCAGAACCUCAGAGUAUGAAGAAGACAAGACAUAAAGUUUUACUUGCAGAAUAGCAGAACAUAGGCAUGAGAAUCUUAAACACCUGGCCUCUGGUGUGUGAAAAUAAGAUCAAUUUAAAUAAAUGAAAAAGAACAAUAAGAUAUAGGUUUUAGCUCAGCUUCUUUCAAAUGUAAGUGAUCAAAAUAAAUUUUGAAGCUUCUGGAAAAAUCAAAUUUCUAAACCUCAAGCCCAGAGAUUUUCAUUUUGUCUGCUAGGGUGGAGUCUCUAUGCUCUAUUUUUUAAUUUUAAGAAAGGACUCCAAAUAAUUCUGGUGAAUAACUGGGUUUUGGAACCACAAUUUAAGUAUUGCAGUGUUUACUCUUUAUUGCUUUUAAAGGAAAUAUAUUAUUUUACUCUUCUUAAAAUAAGCAUAACUAUAUAACACACAGUGGCCAACUGACUCACAACUGAGCCAUCUUAUCUUAUAAUUAGGAAGGAAUUUAAUAAAAACUUGUGUUCAUACUGCCUUUUUAUCACUUCAUUUUCUAAAAUCUUCUUUUAGGAAACUUGCCUCAAAGCAUGAUUCAUCUUUUACCCAGCUUCAAAAGAAAACAUUUUAGUCUUUGUAUUUCACUUCCAGGAUAAGGUUUGAUUGCUUUAGAGAGUCAGAAAACAAUAAUAGAUUCAUCCCCUCCCACUCCCAGGAAUAUUUAAGAAUAACAGGCCCCAAUUUCUUUUUAAUCUCUUUUGUGCUAUUUUUUUGUUCUAUUUUUAAAGGAAAUUUUCUUUCUUCUUCUUUUUCCCUUUCCUCACCACCUCCAACUGUUGUUAGCAACUCUCUAAUUUUUGUGCAAUCUCAUUUUUAUAAUUUGGAAUUAGAUCAAACUUAUUAAAAAGGAGCAGAUGCUUCCCAGAAGAUGCUGUUGUGCCUUUGCUUUGUUCUGUAUUGACAUCGUGGAUUUCUAUAUUUCUCUGAUUAUUUACCAUUGUUUAUGUAUUAGUUUGGUUAAAAAUCAAUUAAUGUUGACUCUUUUAACCCUCUGAACAACAUUGUGGGGCUAGUAUUAUUAUCUGCUAAUUUGAACCACAUGAAAUUGCUAUGUUUGAAGAUAAACAAAAGCAAUUGAAUAUUGGCAAAUUUAAUACGAUUCAGCCUAGUAUACUUGAUGGCUCCAUGCUAUAGAUCUCAAACAAGUGACUUUGCUCAGGGUUACCUAAGCAUAUAAAUAGAAUCAGUUUCAGUGUGUUCUUCCCCCUAAAACAUAGUUGUUUCUCUUUUUAAAAAGUAUUAACCGGCUGGGCGCGGUGGCUCACGCCUGUAAUCACAGCACUUUGGGAGGCCGAGGCAGGUGAAUCAUGAGGUCAGGAGUUUGAGACCAACCUGGCCAGCAUGGUGAAACCCCGUCUCUACCAAAAAUACAAAAAAUUAGCUGGGUGUAGUGUCGGGCACCUGUAAUCCCAGAUACUUGGGAGGCUGAGGCAGGAGAAUUGCUUGAACCCAGGAGGUGGAAGUUGCAGGGAGCAGAGAUGAUGCCACAGCACUCCAGCCCUGUCUACAGAGUGAGACUCUGUCUCAAAAAAAAAAAAAAAGUAUUAACCAACAUUUACAACCUGUUUUUGUUUCUCAAUUGGAAAUUUUUAGGUCUUAAAUUGCAUCAUUUACUGUAUAACACACAUGUACAGCUCUCCUUCACAGAGUGUACAUGCUGCAUUUGUAUUGUUCUACCAUGAAGCAAGCUAUUCUAUGUUUCCCUGUAUACAUACAUGGUUAUUUGUGAAUAUACAAUUUUAGGUAAGAAAUUACUAUUAGUAUUUAUAGAACUUUACAGCAUAAAGAAUUUUUCGAUUUGAUUACUUUGUGUAUUAUAUUGAGAAAACCUAAUGUAUAAAGGUGUUGAUAUUAUUUUAUUUGUUCAAUGCCUAUUAUGUCUAGUAGGUAUUUUAACUAAUCAGACCAAAAAGGAAGGAGUAGUAGUACAGCAUCUAAGUCCUGGGAGCUUGUUCUAUCUAAUAAGAUCCCAAAUUAUAGAAAACGUUAUUUUAGUCUUGGAAGAAAGUCUAUACCAGAGUAAAGUUCUUGAACUCAUAACUGUUGAAAUAAAUUUAUUGUUUUAAUAGCUCAAUUCUUCUUACUUUCCUGUAUUGGUGUUCCUUCUCAUGUGUUAUAACUUCACUAUGAGUUGGGUGCCCUGUUGCUUUGCUUGACUGGGUUCUCCAUGUAACUUGCUUUAACCAACGGAAUGAGGUAGAAGUGACGGUAUGCCUGCUGCAAGCCCAGGACUCAUGAACCUUGUGUAUUUCUGCUUGUACUCUAGAAAAGUGGUUCUCAACUAGGGGCAGCUUUUUCCCUAGGGGAAUUUGGCGAUAUCUGGGAGCAUUUUUGGCCACAACUUGGGGGAUUCUACUGGCACCCAGUGGGUACUGGCCCAAGAUCCUGUGGAACAUCCUAUGAUAGAAUAACUCUUUACAACAAAAAAUAUUCAACCUAAAACAUCAAUAGAGUUGAGUUUGAAAAACUUUGCUCUUUACAGACUCUGUCAUCACCACAAGAAGGAUAUGCCUGGGCUACCCUUCAACUUUUAGAGGGAGGAUGAGAGGCACAUGGAGUAACACUAACCUGCAGAAACAUGAGUAAGACCAGUCAAGAUCAACCAACACCAAGCCUUGUGACUCAUGAGAUUUAAUAAUAAAUAAUCUUCCGUUUAAUAACUGAGUCUUAAGGUGGAUUGUUUUGCAGCAAUACCUAACUGAUAGAACCUUGUAACAGAGGAAAGCUGAAUAUUGGGUGGUAGAGUCACAGUCAACAUACCAUGUUAACAAAUUACUCAGCAAAAGAUAAAAAUUAAUCUAUCACUUCCUACACACCACCAAUGGAAGACUUUUUUUAAAACUUUUUCUUUGAAAAUAAAUGCAGUUUUAAGGUUUGCGUAGUGAAUCUAUUUCACAAAUCAAAGGAUAAAUAAUUUUGGUAUAUUAGCAUAGAUAAGAACAUCUCUUCUAAUUAAUUAAAAAGUGCCGUAGUGCCUGGCACCAUCAUGAACACUGUAAUUGUAAAGAAAAAUAAAACAUGGCCCCUGCUCACUAUAAGCUUCCCAUACAGCUGGAAUAUUCAAAUUCCUUGGCUUCAUUCAAGUAUUUUUAACUAGUGGAGAUUUUAUCAUUGUUUUAGGAAGAGUAUCUACCUUAAAACAAAUAUAUUUUUGGAGGCAGAAUUAUAGCUGGAAAUAUUAAUUGUUGUACUUUCUGUGUUUUUGUUCCUCCUUUCUACUCUCUAGUGGUAGUGGGGUAGGGGAGGGCAGUCUUUGCUUUCUCAAGCCAAUAUUGAAAUAGAAAAAAAGACUCAAAAAAUACAUAUCCAAGCACAAGUCAGAAAGACGCACGUAAGUAUUUAUGGAGGCAUAUUUUUGGUAAUCAAAGACUAAAAAGACAAGGGUAGUGGGAAGGUGGGACUAUCCUAGAAAAGAGAAACAGGGCUUGAUUUCUCAAAGUGGAAGAAAGGGCUGAAUUUUCCUCUUACAAGCACUGGGAUUGACGAUGAAGGGGCUUGUAAUGAUGAUUACUGGUUCUUCUCCAAUAUAUAUUUUACCUCCUUUCCAGUGACCCACUGCCAAUGGACAUCCAAAGUUCCUCGUUCUAGAUACUGGUGUUUCACAGAAUAAAAAUUAAAGGACUUGGACUCCUUGUGUGGAGAUGGGGAUGAAAAAAAUCUCAUUUGUAUUUUUCUUAUGACCAGGUACAGCUGGGGACACAAUAACACUGCAUUUUUUUUUAAUAGUAGCGAUGCAAAUGUAAUCAUGUUUUUCUUGCUACGUUUAGCCUACUUUCUAUUUUUACCUGUGACACAUUUGUACGCAUAUUUCAUGCUACUUAAAUAUUUAAAACUUUCUCAUUACCUUUUCAUUUUUAAAUUAUUCUUUGUCAAUUGCAUAUAUAACUAAGUUUGUGAUUUUUCCUACCAAUGUCUAAAAAUAUGAAAUCCUAGAAAUGUGUUUUUCUUGUAUCCAUAGUUAUCCAACAUAUUUUCAUAGCAGCAAGGCAGAUUCUUGUGGUAACUUGGUUCCUAUACCUCCCAUAACACAAGGACUGAACAUGGCUUUUAGCAGAUGGAGUAUGUGUUAUUUCCACUUGUGGCAACAUGAAACCUGGUGUGGUGAAUAGUAGGGGUCUGCCCAUGAUGCCCACCUCUUGAUUUUCAUGUCUGAUUUAAAUGCUCUGUGGAAAAAGGAUGGAUUUACUCCCUCCCCCAAAUUUGGUUCAGAUAUCAAGACAUGAUCACACACAAACACACAUACACACACACACGCACGCACACACAGACAGCAUGGAAGGUCUUAUUUCUUGUGUAAGGCUAGCUUCCCAUCCUGGUCCAAACAUGGCCUAAGAGAACAGGGAAAGGAGACUUGAAUGGGGGUUGUUAUGGUUGUCAGAGAGUGUGGCUGGGGUUAAGGUUCCCACACACAGCAGGGUUUGUGUGGAGUGAACCUCCACUGGCUCCAAAGGAAGAAGUACCCAGGCUUUCUUUUCAGGUGACACAGAUGCAAGCAGAAGGGAAAGAGGAGAGGUGAGGCAUGUCUCCAAUCAAAUAUCAAAAAUGAAUUGAGACUGUUGAUUACCCUGCUUCUAUGUAAUGCCCUCCCCUUGAGUGUGGGUGAGAACUGUGACCUGUAAAUGUUGUGAUUACAUUAUAUUAUGUGGUAAAGGUGAUGGGAUGUUACUCCCAUGAUUAUAAUACAAUGUGUAUACAUAUAUGACUCCGAGAAGACUCUCUCUUCUCUCUUGCUGCCCUGAAAGCAGCAAGCCUUUAUGUUGUGAGCUGCCUAUGGAGAAGGACACAUGGCCAGAAACUGUGGGCAGCCUGCAGGAGUUGAGGGCUUCAGUCCUCCAAUUUCAAAGAACAGAAUUCUUCCAACAAACACAAGCACAUAAUCUUGGUGAGGACCCCGAGCCUCAGAUAAUAAGACUCUAGCCCAGCUGAAACCUUGAUUGCAGUCUGGGAGACCCUGAAGUAGAGAACCCACUCAAGCUCCUGAUCCACAGGAGCUGUGGUAUAAUUAAUGUGUGUUGUUUUAAGUUGUUAAGUGUGCUGUAAAAUGUUAUGCAGCAAUAGAUAAUAUACCAAAGGAUGACAAUUUUUUUCUAGUCCUCUCCCUUUAUCUUUCGCUAUGAGGAAAAUAUAUCUGAUUUGUAAAAAGGGUAUUUCAUAGGAAUAUCUUUUCGUUUUGUUUGGGUAGAUGGCAAAUAGAGUCAGAAGUGGAAGUCCUUAAACAUAGCAGUGAGUUUCCGGAUGAAAUUCAAGGAAAAGUAUGUAAGAAUGGGAGAAAUUGGAAAUCUAUGUAAAUAAACAUAGCAUCAGAAGUGACUUCAAGUAGCAUUCUACAAUGGCAGAAGCACAAGAUAGAAACCAUGAAAGGACAAUCAAUAAGAUGUCUUAGGUAAUUAGAUGUAGGCAUAAAGUAGAUGAAGGAAUCAAAUAUAAUUCAGAGAUUUUUUGAUUCAUGAUGACGUGGAAAGAAACUAAAUUAUUGAUAGAAACUGGCAAAUCAGAGAGAGAGUUUAAUGUGAGGAGAUUACUUUUACAUUAAAUAUGUUGAAUUUGAAUUGACCAGAAAGAGAGUUGUGGUCCAAGACUGACAUACAUUGACACAACAGACAUGCAUUGACCCCUUCUAGGAAUCUAGUUUGGUAAGAAGCCCGGGGCGUAAAACUGAUGAGUAAGCGAUGUAAUCAGCUUUUGAGAUGCUUGCACUCUCGUUCAGGCAGACGCAUACCAGGAGUGCAUUCAUACAGAAUACAGGUCCUAAGAUAGAGGUAAAAUCAAAGUACUGGGAAGCAAAAAGGUUGGACAACUCUUUAUCAUCCUUCAAGGCUCAGAUAAGGUAGAGCUAUUAUCUGAGUGGCGCUUUCCCUGACCACUGUCUUCUCUGUCCCUUGUUUGUCUCUGCAAAGCUCUGUUAUAGCACCGGCCCUCUUCUAAUGCAAUUAUUUGUCAGCAUGGCUGGUGUUUUUCUUACUAGAUUGUGAGUUCUUUGAGAGCCAAUCAGCCUCUUUUUUUCUCAUCUCUGUAUUCCUGGUGCCCAGAAUAGCACAUGUCACAUGUUACACACUCAAGAAAUGUGUAUUGUGUGCAUUAUGGCUGGGGGGGGGGGGGUAAUUCACUUGAUUAAAGUAUGAUUUACAUAAGGGAGAGAGGUUCUGUUUAGAGAAAAAGCUGGAGCCUGAGGACUACAUUUUCAGGUACAUCUUCAACAAUCUGUUCAUAAAACACAUCAGGGCCUCCCAUUGCAUACAAUGUUGCAAGCCCAUUGAGUUUUUGUCUUUUUAUAAAAAGGGACUUUAGAUGUGUCGAGAGUGAAAUGGGCACUUUUUAUCAAAGGAUGUUUAUUACCAGCUUUGGAGGUGGGCACUUAUAACCCUCCACACUUUAGAUGUCUUCAUAACUCAGACAGAUAUUUGGCCUACUGCCUUGCAACCUGGAGGGGCUGCCCCUGCUACAUCAAGUAGAAAAGGUCUCAAUGCCUUGGACUGAUAUGCAGUAUGUGAAGCAUGGUGGAAGUGAAGCUAAUGCCAAAUAAAAUUUGAGAAAAACAUCUCACAUGUCUCAGAGUAGAGACUAUAGCUUACCAGGGAAAAUAAUUACUUUUAUAGAUUGGAAGGCCCCUUAAGACUUCAUCUUUGUUCUUUCUUUACAGUUGGAAACUUACUUCUGAAGUUUUAUAUUGCCUUAUUUUUCCUAAAUCCCAAAAGACAUAUUUUGUGAAUUUUAAAAAAAGUUUCAUUAAGCUAUCUUGCCACCAAAAAUGUGCUUCAGAAUUUGGAUUUAUUAUUGCAGAUUUUUUUAAAAAUGAGGUGACAUGUGUAAGAUAGCAAUAUCAGUGCAUACUAAUUCCUGUCUAUUUCUAAAUUCUGCUUAAAAGGACCAGAAAGUCAUCUAAAACAAUAACACGUUUUUCUGCAACUAAUAAGGUGUAGGAAAAUUAGUACUAGGGUGGAGAAAGACAUCACCAGCAACACUGCUUCAUCUCUACAAAGAACAUUUCUGUCACUGCAUCACAUUUUAGUGCAUUGACACAUGACUGGGGUUUGUAAUAAUUACCCCAAGUAAUUACUCUGAACAGCAAUGCCUUCCCAUUUUCUUUCCAGAGACUGGCUCAUGCAUACAUGCGUGACAAAUCCUGACCACUGAAACAAGAAGGAAAGAUUGCUAGAGUGUUUCUGGGCAUCUUGCUUGUCUUUAGUAAGGAAACAGAGGAAAGAUAAACUACUUUCUGAUUUUGGAGAACAUUCUACUGUCUUAAAGUAAUGCCUGGCACUAUUGAAAUAAGCCAGAGCAUGAAGCUGCCACCCUUAAAGAAGAGCACAGCCAAAAACAUGAUGGAGAAGGGCAACUGGUGUCCUUAUAUCCAAACUUGGCAUUGCCCUACGUCUGGAAUUCUAGUUGUAUGAGAUAAAUGUAUUUCCUUAUUUAAGCCAAUUUGAAAUAGUAUUUUGUUACUUAUGUUGAAGGCUUCCUAAGUGAUACAGAAUGUGGGAAAAUGGAGAGUGCUCAAGGGAAUACCGAACAUACCCUAAAAGGUAUAUUUGCUGAGUGGAGGGAGUAGAGGGGAGAGAAGAGAGAAUUCCCUACUCUAAAAGAUCCACCUAUUCUAGGCUAGGAAGUGGGUGACCAUGGGUGAAGCAUUUGCCAACAUUCUUUUAAACUGUUGCCUAUUGUACAUUGGGACUUAGAUCAUUUUCCAUACAGAUUCUAGUGUUAGGAAAGCCACAGGGAAAGUUUGAAAUAUUGAAAUGAUGUGUUGUUGCCCAAUGCUACUGGCACAUUCCUAAAAGAAAAGAUUUAGCUGAAUAUGGUCAAAUCAAAUGCACAUAGAGAGAAACAUGACUUAUGUGACUUUAAGAAAAGUUGUAUCUUUGAUCUACAACCAAGUCCACUGAUGGGUAGAAUAGCCAAAUUCUCUAUUCCUAGCUAAAGUUAACCUAAAUGUCAACAGAGAGACAGCAGUUUUUCAGGUUACCAUAGUGGGAUUUCAUUCAAGUCCCUCCUAUUAGUCAUUCUUUUUUGGAAAAGAGGCCAAUCCUAAGAAAAAGAUUAGAUUAUUUGUGGUGCCUCUCCACCAAAGACAAUUAUUUCACAUUCCUUCAGGGCGGAGGCUACUCAUCUGGGGCCAACAGAGAAGGGAAGGACACAGAAGUGCAUAGCCAGAAACAGGCAUUUACAUAUUCAAAGAUCACAGGUAAAUCAAGUUCUUUAAUUGUGGACUGGAAGCAAAAAUACCUGAAACCUAAUAAAUUUUUAUGAGAACUGCAUUUUCCGGUGGAAGUAUCCUUGCCAUAAAAAUUUCAGCUACUUAAAACGGUUUGUUGAAGCUCUUCUCUACAAUGUCUGUCUUUACACCACUUGCCUCAGGUAUGAUCAUAGGGGAAAAUGUACAAGGAUUUAUAUGCACAGAACAGAACAAUGCUGCCAGGUUGGCUCAUUAAAAAUCAUAUUAUUGGCUGGGUGUGGUGGCUCAUGCCUGUAAUCCUAGCACUUUGGGAGGCUGAGGCGGGUGGAUCACAAGGUCAAGAGAUCGAGACCACCCUGGCCAACAUGGUGAAACCCCGUCUCUACUAAAAAUACAAAAGAAUUAGCUGGGUGUGGUGGUGCGCACCUAUAGUCCCAGCUACUCGGGAGGCUGAAGCAGGAGGAUCGUUUGAAACUGGGAGGUGGAGGUUGCAGUGAACUGAGAUCACGCCACAUCACUCCAGCCUAGUGAUAGGGCGAUACUUUGUCUCAAAAAACAAACAACACCACACACACACAACAAACAAACAAACAAAAAAACCAUAUUAUUUUCCUGGGGAAUCAAAUCUUGUCUCUCCAACAGAAUAUAUAUAGUGUGGCUAAUGACUCUCAAGUUUAAUUUCUCAUUCUUCCUUUAUUACAAUUGGGAAUUUUAUUUAAUAUUAUUAUCAUGUCCCUUCUGCCCUUUUUGUACCAGUUAUUUUAGGGGUAGAUCCCUCAUCUUUUAGCGUUAGGUUGCCAGGAGCAAUAUCUGAACCUGAUGGAGAGGAAUAUAUAUAAGCCAGGAAAUUCACACUUGGAUCUGGAUACAGAAGAGAUUUUGGUCUUUCUUCAGGAAAGAUAUGAAUGUGUUUAUGUAGAUGUUAGAAUUUCUAAAAAUAUUUGUAGAUAUUGGUUAGCUAAAGAGGUGAACUGUAAUGGUAAUCAUGGACUACUUCUCAAUAUCCUUCUACCCUCAAAUGAUUAGCACAAAACAAUCAUGGUACUCUCAUUUCUUUUAUCAAUUCUAGGCAAUGAAACUUCAAUGGAAUUUUGCUAUUGUGCUUCUGGAAAAUGGUUGUCUCCUUCUUCAAAAGACAUACAAUAUGAUAUAGCUUCACUGCUCACUCUGGAAGUUACAGCUCUGGUUAUAAUGUUAGGAAUUUCUGCAGCUACCUUGCUAUGUGUUGAGGAUCACUCUGGCACAAAGACAAGGGCAGUCUAACAAGAAUGACAGAAACAUAAAGCUGGAGCCCUGCUGUAGAGUAUCUCCCUGACUCUAUGCUCUGUUAGACUCCAUGUUGUAAAAUAAUACAUUUCAUCAUUGCUUAGUUCAUUUUGAGUUGGGUGUUCUCUUACUUGGAGUCCCAAAAUACUAGCCUAUAAGUAGUUUAUCUAUAGGCUGUCUUGAUUUCCUUACUACAAUGGGACCUGGUGUUUCAUUUGAUCUACAUAUAUCCUUGGGGUGUACAUCAGGGAUGGGGUUGCUGGAUUUAGCAAAGAAAAAUACAGGAUACUUAGUUAAUCUAGAUUUCAGAUAAACAUAUAUUUCAUAAGACAUACUUACGAUGAAAGUCAAAUUGAAUUUGACAUCCCUGUGUUGCCUGGCAACCCUAACAAGGAUACCUUGGUGAUAAGGUAUAAAUAGAUAUUUUUGAUGUUCCAGGCUGUUCUGGUUACUUACCAGAAAAGGGAUCACAUUGUUUAUGGAUGACAUUAUGGGUGAAGGGGGUCAGAUUUCCUUAGCACUCCUGUUUAUAUUUGGGCUAGAGAAUUUAGAUUACGUGUCAGCAAACUUUUGCUAUAAGGGCUAGAUAAUAAAUAUUUUAGGCUUUGCAGGCCUUAUGGUUUCUGUUGCAACUACUCAUUUCUGUAUUACAGCUUGAAAGCUGUCAUAGACAAUACAUAAAUGAAUAAGCAUGGCUGUGUUCCAAUACCACUUUAUUCACAAAAACAGAUGGUGGGCCAGAUUUGGCUGUAGUUUGCUGAUCCCUAAUCUAGACCAUUCAAUAGGAAUUGGUAAUGAGACAUGGCUUGAGUCUGCAAUUUCAGAACACCUCCUUAAUACUUCAUCUCUGAUCCUACAAUGUGCUAGACUGAGUUGUUCAGUUGAAGGGUUUGUGUAAAGUCCAGGACAAUUUUCAUAGUGUGUAAUGUUUCCCAUAUGAUAACAGCUGAAUUAAAUAGAAACUUUCUUUUAAAUAGAGAAAUAAAGAAUGGAACUAGAGGGGAAUGGUAGAUGGCAAAUGAACUCGUAGGGACCACAACAUAAAAUACAUAAACCAUUGUCCUAGUUUCAAAGGGCUCAUGCCUCUCUGGAAUAAAUUUACUGCAAGCAAUGCAAGAAUAUUUUGGAUUAAAAAAAAUACCAACCAUAUGAAUAGUAGCAGGUCAUAAGAACAGAGAAAUAUGAGCAAAGUUUGUUUGUGAAUGAGUAGCAUAUUCAGGUGCUAUAAAUCAGAAGCUUUAAAUUCCAAUUCAUGGUGCAAAAGAUUAACUGAAGAUAUAUCUCUAGAGCACAGACAAAAAGUAUAAACAAAUCGAAAUAAAUAUAGAGAAAAUGAGGCAAAGGUAAUAAAUGUUUUCAAGAGACAACAGAACUUAUGAGCAGAAUACAUAAUACAAAAUAAUAGCAGAAAUUGUUUCUGAACUAAAAACAACAUAGUUACAGAAACUUAUGAAAAACUCUAUUAUCUAGCUAUACUCAGGUAGUAUUUAAAAAUAUAAUCAUCCAAGUAAAUUAAAAAUGAGUUCAACUUCUAUAGACAUUAGACUUCUUUCUACAAGGUUAGCUUCCAGAAAACAAUAAAAUGAUAUAUACCACUCACACUGUCUUUGCAUAACCAAAUUAAUUUUCAUGUGCAAAAUGUAUAGCAGAAUUGUUUUAGAUGUUUAUAGAAAUAAAAGCAGCUUUGCUAUGAAGUUAUGCUUCCAAAAUAGAUGACUUUCAAUUAUUGAAUCAAAGUUUAGUAUCUAAGAAUGGGGAUAAAAAAAAUCUAAGAAUUAUAGAAUCUAAGAAUCGUAGGUAAAAGGAACUUAUGAUAAAUAUUUAAGACAAAACAAAUAGAAUUACUUACAUAAUUAUGGAAUUUGGUUUCAAAAUUGAAUGUAUAAAAUUAAAUGAAGAAGAAUCUGUAUGUUGAAAAGAGUUUUAAAAACUACAGGUUUAUAUUCUUUGAAUUAGAUUACAGAAGACUAGGAAAAUUGCAGGAGAGUGAGAAAUGGUAAGUAGAUGAAUAUAGAAAUACAGAGGAAUCCAUGAGAGUGUUUUUCUGACUAACUAGAAACAAAAAAAAAUCCUUGUUUUAUUUUGAAAAUUAGAUAAAUAUAAUUUUGAUCACUUAAAAAUAUAAGAUAGUCACUAAUAAAAUUAAAAUCUGAAUGUAUACCAUCUAAAUUAUCAUAGAAGUUAUAGACAAAAUAAAUUUAAUUUAUAUGGCCUCCCAAAAUAAAAUAGAAUGGAAAAAAAUGUUCCUUAAACAAGAAAUACAGGAAGACAGUAAUAUUCAAACUGAAAUUAGCUCUUUAAACCUAACUGUUUUCCAAAUUAUGUGUGAGAAGCAUCAUAAAAGAGGGCUCUGAUUCAUUAUGUAUUUUGACUUAGUCCUAAAAUAAAAUGUAACCCUGACCCUCUCCUCACACAUCCUCUGGUCUUGUUCUUCUUUUUCUCCAUCCAUGUCUACCUCACCCUUCAUAUCUGCUUCAUACUGUUGUCUUCUUUGUACCAGUCUCAGCUGCUGGAGACAGAAGCCAUGACUAGGGCAAUGUAUUAAAUAGUACUGCCUCAAGCUGCAGUACUGUGUGGCCUUACCCGAGAUCCUUGUGACCUGUAUGGUGGUCCCAAUAGCAGUCUUCCUACUUACUUCCUGGGAGUCAAAAUAUCAUUAGAAGUUAUUAAACUAAAUAUAAAAUAAAACUCAUUAUGAGAUAACACUCAUGAAUUAAAGAACAAAACUUGAUCAUAUCCUGUUAAUAAUUAAAAUGUAUGUUGCAGUGCCAUUGAAAAUAAAGAUCUGGGUUAAGAUAUAUUCAAGAAAGUACAGACAGAGAGUGAGAGUGGCAAUAAUAAUACCAAAUAUAUUUUCCAAGGCCAAAACAUUAACAUUAAAUAGGAUAUUCACUCUAUGUCAAUAAUUCAUCAUGAAGGUUGAACAAAAAAUAACUUUAAUAUAUCACACAGCAUAUUAAAAUGCUAUAUAAAUUACAUAAAAAUAUACAACUUAAAACAGGUAGAAAUAUAAGGAAGAAUAAACACUGCAGGUCAAGUUGCUAAAAAAACAUUUUGGGGACAUAGUAGACAUGAAUCAUACAUUACUAAAAAUAUCCUUCAGUAAUGCCCCUAUAUGGAAACUGUCCUAGGGCUUUAAGAUGAUGAUGAUGAAAAUUAUAAUAGCAAUAAAUAAUUUAAUCUCAAUUAUACAUAUCAGGAAUUGUGCUAGAUUUCUAAAAAUGUCAUCUUAAUUUACUGUCACAGUGGCCUGUCAAGGUAGAUAUCACACCCAUUUAAAAUGUGAGCAAUCUGAGAUUGUGAAAGGCUGAAGUAAUUUGUCCUAGGUCAAGAUACUCUUUCUAAGAAGUGGGCAAAGUUUAAAAUUGUAUUUGUCUGAUUCUAGAUCUCAUGCUUUUUCUACCAUACAGGAUGCUUCUUAUGGUCAAAGACAUUCAUCUUCCUGAUAGGAAUGAAGUGGAAAGCUCCAACAACAACAGUCAAUCAAGGGUAGAGCUCAUGGUUUGAUGUGCCAGCUAGGAAAAUGACAAAGCCUGUCAUAGCAAAGAGAAGAUAAAGUGCCCAGCUUUCCAACACCUGUGCUCUGCUGGGAAGGAGGGGCAAAAAGAAGGAGGAGCUGGACAUGAAUGCUAGGAAACCCGAGCAGGUGCUGGCCAGCUGAAUGGAGACUGAAAGGUAAAUUGUGGGGGCCCCCAGAGUGACAGACCAGUAGCUACCUGGGUUUUAGAAUAGAAACUAUAUUAAUUGUGAUGAGAUUUGCAUUUAUUUCAAGGGAAAAAGCAGUCCAGUCUACAUAGGACAGCCUGCCUAGGAGCAAACCCUUAACUAAAAGUGUUUUUAGCUAGACUGACAUACGUGGGAAGAGUGGCACCCAGGUCAAAUCUGGAGAUGUCGAUAAGUUAAUUAUUCAUUGCAUUAACAGACAUUUAUUGAGCAAACACUAGGGCCUGCAUUGUGCUGGCUUUAAGGAAACAAAGGUGAAUAAGGAGAUUUCCUGACCAAUACAUACAUACACAUGUAUUAUAUACAUAUAUGUUUUUUCCUUUAAUUUUUAGUGAUAUGUAAUAACUGCACAUAUUUAUGAGGUACAGAAUGAUAUUUCAAUCCAUGUGUACAGUAUGUAAUGAUCAAAUCAGGGUAGCAAGUGUAUUCAUCACUUCUAACUUUGAUCAUUUCUUUAUGUUGUGAGCAUUCUUCUAGCUUUUUAAAAAUUGCUAUAUUGUUAACCAUAUUCACCCUACCAUGCUAGAGAACACUAAAACUUACUCCUUCUAUAUUACUGUAACUUCAUAUUCAUUAAUGAAUCUCUUAUCCUCCCCACUCCUUCACAGCUUGAGGGACCUUUAUUUACCUUCUACUUGUAUGAGAUUAACUUUUUUGUUUUUUAGCUCCCACGUUUGAGUGAGAAAGUGGAGUAUUUAGUUUUCUGUGCCUGACUUAUUUCACCUAACAUAAC